UGAGACCUGAUGCCGAGCCGAUUGUGGUGAAGUGGAUGAUCCUAUGCUGUCGAGAAAAGCCUCUAGCGAGUUUCAUGGCGGCCCGUACCCUAAACCGACUCAGGUGGUCAGGUAGAGAAUACCGAGGCGUUCGGGUGAACUAUGGUUAAGGAACUCGGCAAAAUGCCCCCGUAACUUCGGGAGAAGGGGGGCCACACCUGGUGACCGGAUUUACUCCGUGAGCUGGGGGUGGCCGCAGAGACCAGCGAGAAGCGACUGUUUACUAAAAACACAGGUCCGUGCGAAGCCGUAAGGCGAUGUAUACGGACUGACGCCUGCCCGGUGCUGGAACGUUAAGGGGACCGGUUAGCUCCAUUUCGGUGGGGCGAAGCUGAGAACUUAAGCGCCAGUAAACGGCGGUGGUAACUAUAACCAUCCUAAGGUAGCGAAAUUCCUUGUCGGGUAAGUUCCGACCUGCACGAAUGGCGUAACGACUUCUCGACUGUCUCAACCAUAGGCCCGGUGAAAUUGCACUACGAGUAAAGAUGCUCGUUUCGCGCAGCAGGACGGAAAGACCCCGGGACCUUUACUACAGUUUGAUAUUGGUGUUCGGUUCGGCUUGUGUAGGAUAGCUGGGAGACUGUGAAGCUCGCACGCCAGUGUGGGUGGAGUCGUCGUUGAAAUACCAGUCUGGUCGUGCUGGAUGUCUAACCUGGGUCCGUGAUCCGGAUCAGGGACAGUGUCUGAUGGGUAGUUUAACUGGGGCGGUUGCCUCCUAAAGAGUAACGGAGGCGCCCAAAGGUUCCCUCAGCCUGGUUGGCAAUCAGGUGUUGAGUGUAAGUGCACAAGGGAGCUUGACUGUGAGACCGACGGGUCGAGCAGGGACGAAAGUCGGGACUAGUGAUCCGGCGGUGGCUUGUGGAAGCGCCGUCGCUCAACGGAUAAAAGGUACCCCGGGGAUAACAGGCUGAUCUUCCCCAAGAGUCCAUAUCGACGGGAUGGUUUGGCACCUCGAUGUCGGCUCGUCGCAUCCUGGGGCUGGAGUCGGUCCCAAGGGUUGGGCUGUUCGCCCAUUAAAGCGGUACGCGAGCUGGGUUUAGAACGUCGUGAGACAGUUCGGUCCCUAUCCGCUGUGCGCGUAGGAGUCUUGAGAAGGGCUGUCCCUAGUACGAGAGGACCGGGACGGACGAACCUCUGGUGUGCCAGUUGUUCUGCCAAGGGCAUGGCUGGUUGGCUACGUUCGGGAGGGAUAACCGCUGAAAGCAUCUAAGCGGGAAGCCUGCUUCGAGAUGAGGACUCCCACCCACUUGAUGGGGUAAGGCUCCCAGUAGACGACUGGGUUGAUAGGCCGGAUCUGGAAGCACCGUGAGGUGUGGAGGUGACCGGUACUAAUAGGCCGAGGGCUUGUCCU
rnacentral:rRNA from 1 species